rnacentral:ncRNA from 1 species
UGUAGUUACUGGCAAACUAGGUGAAAGCCUAGGACGCAAAGCUUCCGGUCUAAAUGCAUUGUAUACUCAUGCGAUGCACACGAUAGCGGGGUUGCUUCA